UUUUUUGUGGUGUAUAAACACAUUAGCUUUUCACGCUGAAGAAGAAGAGGCGUCUUCCAGGCUCU
rnacentral:tRNA from 1 species